AAAAAAGAAAAGAAAAAUGACCAAAAGGAUGAUAAAUAGAUAAUUUUGGAUGAAUGUUUUACCACUAACUGAUAAUGAGGACCAUAAGAGUUUAAGAUAUCAGUUGUAACUUGUAAUGUGGAAUUUGUUUAAACUGGAAUUCAGUUUAGCCUGUAGUACCUUGUGUUGAUGUUUUACGGAUGUGAUAUAAUUUUUAUAUCUAGUUAAUUAAAUAUCAUGGAAUAAACACUAUCUUUUUGAGUAAUAUCUCUUGAUAUUGCAGUGAAUGGUCUGGGUGGUGUGACUUGGUGCCAAUAUCUGCUUGCAGUGUUGGGUAUUUUCACCAUAGUUACUAUGUGGGCAGUUGUGGUAACUGAAAGUUGCAGGAAAGUAAAUCUUCAGUACUAUGGUUUCAAACUUGCUUCUGCUGCAAGGGAGCAAUCACCAAUUACUGAAGUCGAACCGUAUAUUCCUUUCAAUAUUAAUCCAUC